rnacentral:rRNA from 1 species
AAAUAGAAGUUCGACGGGGGCCCGCGACAAGCGGUGGAGCAUGUGGUUUAAUUCGACGCAACGCGAAGAACCUUACCAGGGCUUGACAUCUUCUGACCGCUUAAGGAAACUUAAGCUUUCCGGAAGGUUUACUUUCUGGACAGAAAGACAGGUGGUGCAUGGUUGUCGUCAGCUCGUGUCGUGAGAUGUUGGGUUAAGUCCCGCAACGAGCGCAACCCCUACGGUUAGUUGCUAACGGGUAAGGCCGAGCACUUUAGCCGAACUGCCGUUGACAAAACGGAGGAAGGCGGGGAUGACGUCAAAUCAUCAUGCCCUUUAUGUCCUGGGCUACACACGUGCUACAAUGGCCUGUACAAAGGGCAGCAAAGGGGCGACCCGGAGCAAAUCCCAAAAAACAGGUCUCAGUUCGGAUUGCAGGCUGCAACUCGCCUGCAUGAAGGCGGAAUCGCUAGUAAUCGCAGGUCAGCAUACUGCGGUGAAUACGUUCCCGGGCCUU